rnacentral:rRNA from 1 species
UGGGGAAUAUUGCACAAUGGAGGGAACUCUGAUGCAGCAACGCCGCGUGCGGGAUGACGGCCUUCGGGUUGUAAACCGCUUUCAGCCAUGACGAAGCUUUUGUGACGGUAGUGGUAGAAGAAGCACCGGCUAACUACGUGCCAGCAGCCGCGGUGAUACGUAGGGUGCGAGCGUUGUCCGGAAUUAUUGGGCGUAAAGAGCUUGUAGGCGGUUUGUCGCGUCGAUAGUGUAAACACGCAGCUUAACUGUGUGCCUGCUGUCGAUACGGGCUGACUAGAGGAGGGUAGGGGAGAAUGGAAUUCCCGGUGGAGCGGUGGAAUGCGCAGAUAUCGGGAGGAACACAAGUGGCGAAGGCGGUUCUCUGGACCUUUCCUGACGCUGAGAAGCGAAAGCGUGGGUAGCAAACAGG